rnacentral:rRNA from 1 species
GUGCACCAGGCGCGAAUACUUUACAAUGUGCGAAAGCACGAUAAGGGAACUCUGAGUGCCUCCUAAGGAGGCUGUUCAGGUGUCUAAAAGCACCUGAAGGAAGGGCUGGGUAAGACCGGUGCCAGCCGCCGCGGUAACACCGGCAGCCCAAGUGGUAGCCACGUUUAUUGGGUCUAAAGCGUCCGUAGCCGGCUGGGUAAGUUCCUUGGGAAAUUUGGCUGCUUAACAGUCAAGCUUUCAGGGAAUACUGCCCGGCUUGGGACCGGGAGAGGUCAGAGGUACUCCAGGGGUAGGGGUGAAAUCCAUUAAUCCUUGGGGGACCACCGGUAGCGAAGGCGUCUGACCAGACCGGGUCCGACGGUGAGGGACGAAGGCUAGGGGCGCGAACCGGAUUAGAUACCCCUGUAGU